UUGUUUGCAGAUGUAGCAUCAUCAAGAUUCACAUGCAAAGUAUGUAUAUAUGAUGCAUAUGAUAUAUAUUGGUUUUGGCCUGGGAAUCCUGAUGAUGCUGCAUUCGCAAUGAA
rnacentral:pre_miRNA from 1 species